rnacentral:rRNA from 1 species
UACGUAGGGUGCGAGCGUUGUCCGGAAUUAUUGGGCGUAAAGAGCUCGUAGGCGGCUUGUCGCGUCGUCCGUGAAAACCUGCAUCUCAACUGCAGGCUUGCGGUCGAUACGGGCAGGCUGGAGUUCGGUAGGGGAGACUGGAAUUCCUGGUGUAGCGGUGAAAUGCGCAGAUAUCAGGAGGAACACCGGUGGCGAAGGCGGGUCUCUGGGCCGAUACUGACGCUGAGGAGCGAAAGCGUGGGGAGCGAACAGG